UUGAGUUCGAUCUCCAUAUCGACUCCAAGUGUGCCUUCAUUUGGGUUGCUUUGGGUCGCUCCCCCACUUAAUCUCGCAAUGCAUCCACCAAUGCAUUCUCUCGAGCGAGUUCAUGCAACGACUCCUCGCUGCUUGCUCAGUCCAUUGAGUUUCGUGGAGUUAUUGUUUGUUGAGGUACUCCUCCUCAACAUGUGAGGUCCGUCCCACAUGAUUCUCCCUCUGGAGAGCCG
rnacentral:lncRNA from 1 species